rnacentral:rRNA from 1 species
AUUGAACGCUAGCGGGAUGCUUUACACAUGCAAGUCGAACGAGUGGCGGACGGGUGAGUAAUAUAUCGGAACGUGCCCAAUAGAGGGGGAUAACUACUCGAAAGAGUGGCUAAUACCGCAUACGAUUGGAGCGGCCGAUAUCGGAUUAGCUAGUUGGUGGGGUAAAGGCUGACCAAGGCAACGAUCCGUAGCUGGCUUGAGAGGACGACCAGCCACACUGGGACUGAGACACGGCCCAGACUCCUACGGGAGGCAGCAGUGGGGAAUUUUGGGCAAUGGAGGAAACCCUGACCCAGCCAUCCCGCGUGUGUGAGAAGGCCUUCGGGUUGUAAAGUACUUUUGGCAGAGAAGCGGUAUCUGCAGAAUAAGCACCGGCUAACUACGUGCCAGCAGCCGCGGUAAUAC